AUUGAACGCUGGCGGCAUGCUUUACACAUGCAAGUCGAGCGAGCGGCGGACGGGUGAGUAAUGUCUGGGAAACUGCCUGGUAGCGGGGGAUAACUACUGGAAAGGGUAGCUAAUACCGCAUACCAUCAGAUCGGCCGAGAUGGGAUUAGCUAGUUGGUGGGGUAAAGGCUCACCAAGGCGACGAUCCCUAGCUGGUCUGAGAGGAGGACCAGCCACACUGGAACUGAGACACGGUCCAGACUCCUACGGGAGGCAGCAGUGGGGAAUAUUGGACAAUGGGGGCAAGCCUGAUGCAGCCAUGCCGCGUGUGUGAAGAAGGCCUUCGGGUUGUAAAGCACUUUUAGCAGGGAGGCGGUACUCGCAGAAGAAGCACCGGCUAACUCCGUGCCAGCAGCCGCGGUAAUUC
rnacentral:rRNA from 1 species